CACGUAGGGCGCAAGCGUUGUCCGGAAUUAUUGGGCGUAAAGAGCUCGUAGGCGGUUUGUCGCGUCUGCUGUGAAAACUCGGGGCUUAACUCCGGGCCUGCAGUGGGUACGGGCAGACUAGAGUGCGGUAGGGGAGACUGGAAUUCCUGGUGUAGCGGUGGAAUGCGCAGAUAUCAGGAGGAACACCAAUAGCGAAGGCAGCUCGCUGGGACGGUAUUGACGCUGAGGCGCGAAAGCGUGGGGAGCAAACAGG
rnacentral:rRNA from 1 species